AAGACAUGUUGACGUGAACGGAAAUCGCCAGAGACAGAGGUGUGCCCAGCCGGAAUCGCUUUCUGUCGUUUACACUUGCUGAGGCCGAGGUGCGCACAGCAGGAGAAACAGAACGCUGGGUCUCGUGAGGGGAAAAAGGAGCCCGCCGGGAGCUAGAGGGAGGCCAAAGCUGCUUGCCGACAAGACAAAGGCGCCGGCGCUACGACGGGCGGGACUCACCACCAGGCUCCUGCUGGGCCGUAGUAACCUUUGAGCAGCGGCAAGGAGGACAUGAGCAGGGGCACCCCCCACGCUAUCAGAUGGUAGAACCUGAUAAAGACAAAAAAAGGACAACGGUUUCAUUGUGGAAGACCAGAGAGGGAAUCUAUUUCUGAGUUUAUUAGUAAUAUUUUCCAAGCCAAAUUCCACCGGAAUGAGCAUGAACCCUUCCAUCAAUUAAGUUUUCUUUUCAUUGAUGUUUGCUCGUUAGCAGGAUUACAUACGAUUGCAGUAAACAAAAUACCAAGAACUGAUCAUCUUUUCUUCCACUGACGAGGUUAUGAUUUCAUUGGGAUUUGAUUACAUUUUGUAAACAAUUUCUGCAAAAAUGAAAAUGAAUUCUGCCACUUAACUCGAGCUUUUAUUGCCUGUUUAUUAGCCCAAACCUGCAUCGGCUGUAAAAACUGUGCCAAACAAAUCCUGCGAGUUACUCACUGUGGGGACCCUUGAAAGGGAAAAGCCCCAAAGUCACUUCUACUUCACAUUAUUAUUAUUAAUAGUAGUAGGAUUAGUAAAAAAAUUCCAAACCGGUUUUCAGGAAACUGAGUA